rnacentral:tRNA from 1 species
GGGUCCUUAGCUCAUUUUGGUAGAGCGCCUGCUUUGCACGCAGGAGGUGAGGGGUUCGAUCCCCCUAGGAUCCA